GAGCGAACGCUGGCGGCAGGCCUAACACAUGCAAGUCGAACGCCCCUUCGGGGGAGUGGCGGACGGGUGAGUAACGCGUGGGAACGUGCCCUUUGGUACGGAACAACUGAGGGAAACUUCAGCUAAUACCGUAUGUGCCCUAUGGGGGAAAGAUUUAUCGCCAUUGGAGCGGCCCGCGUUAGAUUAGCUAGUUGGUAGGGUAAUGGCCUACCAAGGCGACGAUCUAUAGCUGGUCUGAGAGGAUGAUCAGCCACACUGGGACUGAGACACGGCCCAGACUCCUACGGGAGGCAGCAGUGGGGAAUCUUGCGCAAUGGGCGAAAGCCUGACGCAGCCAUGCCGCGUGAAUGAUGAAGGUCUUAGGAUUGUAAAAUUCUUUCACCGGGGACGAUAAUGACGGUACCCGGAGAAGAAGCCCCGGCUAACUUCGU
rnacentral:rRNA from 1 species